rnacentral:rRNA from 1 species
AGAUUGAACGCUGGCGGCAGGCCUAACACAUGCAAGUCGAGCGGUAGAGAGGUGCUUGCACCUCUUGAGAGCGGCGGACGGGUGAGUAAUGCCUAGGAAUCUGCCUAGUGGUGGGGGAUAACGGUUCGGAAACGGACGCUAAUACCGCAUACGUCCUACGGGAGAAAGCGGGGGACCUUCGGGCCUCGCGCCAUUAGAUGAGCCUAGGUCGGAUUAGCUAGUUGGUGAGGUAAUGGCUCACCAAGGCGACGAUCCGUAACUGGUCUGAGAGGAUGAUCAGUCACACUGGAACUGAGACACGGUCCAGACUCCGUACGGGAGCAGCAGUGGGAAUAGUUGGACAAGUGGGACGAAAGCCUGACUCCAGCCCAGUCG